rnacentral:tRNA from 1 species
GGGUAGAUGGCGAAAUUGGUAUACGCAUCACAUUCAAAAUGUGACAACUUGCAGUUAUGAGGGUUCAAGUCCCUCUCUACCUAUAU